GAUGAACGCUGGCGGCGUGCCUAAUACAUGCAAGUAGAACGCUGAAGGAAGGAGCUUGCUCUUUCCGGAUGAGUUGCGAACGGGUGAGUAACGCGUAGGUAACCUGCCUGGUAGCGGGGGAUAACUAUUGGAAACGAUAGCUAAUACCGCAUAACAGUAGAUGUUGCAUGAUAUCUACUUAAAAGGUGCAAUUGCACCACUACCAGAUGGACCUGCGUUGUAUUAGCUAGUUGGUGAGGUAACGGCGCACCAAGGCGACGAUACAUAGCCGACCUGAGAGGGUGAUCGGCCACACUGGGACUGAGACACGGCCCAGACUCCUACGGGAGGCAGCAGGAGGGAAACUUCGGCAAUUGACGGAAGUCUGACCGAACAACGCCGGGUGAGGGAAGAAGGUUUUCGGAUCGGAAAGCUCGGUUGUGAGAGAAGAACGAGUGUGAGAGUGGAAAGUUCACACUGUGACGGUAUCUUACCAGAAAGGGACGGCUAACUACGUG
rnacentral:rRNA from 1 species